rnacentral:rRNA from 1 species
AUGCAUCUAGAUUCCACACAGUGUGUAUUAUGUGAUGCUGAAGAUUAUGAGGACAGAAUACAUCUUCUUUUCUCUUGCCCAUUCAGCCAGGGUUUUUGGUGGAACAUUGGUCUUGAAUGGAACACUGAUCUAAAUAUCCAUGAUAUGAUUAUUGAAGCCCAUCAAAGAUAUAAACUUCACCAUUUCAUGGAAAUUCUAAUUAUUGGAUGCCGGAGUAUAUGGAAUCAAAGAAAUGAUCUGAUAUUUGAAGGGAUCCCUUGCUCUAUCAAUGACUGCAGAUAUGAAUUUAUCAAGACUUUCAAAUUGAAAAUGCUAAGAGCCAAGCCUAGUUUAAAGGAGGGAAUGUCUUCAUGGAUUGAUAACAUUUAUUUUUUUAUUUACUCAAUAAUCUCCCUGGUUGUCUCCCCAACAACAAUUGUAAAGACUUUGUGA